AUUGAACGCUGGCGGCAGGCCUAACACAUGCAAGUCGUACGAGUGGCGGACGGGUGAGUAAUGUCUGGGAAACUGCCCGAUGGAGGGGGAUUACUACUGGAAACGGUAGCUAAUACCGCAUACCAUCGGAUGUGCCCAGCUGGGAUUAGCUUGUUGGUGGGGUAAUGGCUCACCUAGGCGACAAUCCCUAGCUGGUCUGAGAGGAUGACAGGACAAACUGGAACUGAGACACGGUCCAGACUCAGACGGGAGACAGCAGUGAAGAAUAUUGCACAAUGGGCGCAAGCCUGAUGCAGCCAGGCCGCGUGUAUGAAGGAGGCCUUCGGGUUGUAAAGUACGUUCAGCGAGGAGGCGUUACUCGCAGAAGAAGCACCGGCAAACUCCGUGCCAGCAGCCGCGGUAAUUC
rnacentral:rRNA from 1 species